CUGGCUCAGAUUGAACGCUGGCGGCAGGCCUAACACAUGCAAGUCGAGCGGCAGCGGAAAGUAGCUUGCUACUUUGCCGGCGAGCGGCGGACGGGUGAGUAAUGUCUGGGAAACUGCCUGAUGGAGGGGGAUAACUACUGGAAACGGUAGCUAAUACCGCAUAACGUCGCAAGACCAAAGAGGGGGACCUUCGGGCCUCUUGCCAUCAGAUGUGCCCAGAUGGGAUUAGCUAGUAGGUGGGGUAACGGCUCACCUAGGCGACGAUCCCUAGCUGGUCUGAGAGGAUGACCAGCCACACUGGAACUGAGACACGGUCCAGACUCCUACGGGAGGCAGCAGUGGGGAAUAUUGCACAAUGGGCGCAAGCCUGAUGCAGCCAUGCCGCGUGUAUGAAGAAGGCCUUCGGGUUGUAAAGUACUUUCAGCGGGGAGGAAGGUGUUGAGGUUAAUAACCUCAGCAAUUGACGUUACCCGCAGAAGAAGCACCGGCUAACUCCGUGCCAGCAGCCGCGGUAAUACGGAGGGUGCAAGCGUUAAUCGGAAUUACUGGGCGUAAAGCGCACGCAGGCGGUCUGUCAAGUCGGAUGUGAAAUCCCCGGGCUCAACCUGGGAACUGCAUUCGAAACUGGCAGGCUAGAGUCUUGUAGAGGGGGGUAGAAUUCCAGGUGUAGCGGUGAAAUGCGUAGAGAUCUGGAGGAAUACCGGUGGCGAAGGCGGCCCCCUGGACAAAGACUGACG
rnacentral:rRNA from 1 species